CUUUACUCUUCGCUCUCCUCACCUUAAGCAGAAGGAAGGAGACACAUUUGUUGCUGUGAGCUGUUUUGCCUCAGGUUGAGGGAGGACUGGCGCAAGCAUUCCCUUAGCUACUCCAGCUGGUGUCUCUCUAGGUCACAUGCCACCCCAGUCCUCUGGCUCUAAGCCCAGCCCAGCACUAGGAGUUGCCUAGGAAUUGCAGUCCCUGUGUCCUAGACUGUCUUUCAAGUUUACCUAGAGCCCCAGAACCCUCUGGCCUGCUGUGGUGAGGCUUGCCAAGAAAUUUGAGUUCUGACUUAUGGAAUGUGUGAUUCCCCUCUGACUAGGUCUGCUCCAAAUGCACCUUCCAUGUGCAGUCAGUGGCUGAACCUAGCAUGGCUUUGCUUUCUGCUAUGACAGGUCAGCACUGAGUUCAGGGUAAAGUACGCCAGUCACUGCACUCUCUCUCUCUCCGAAGUGCAUAGACUCUGUGCUACACGGCCACUGCCAGGGCUGGAGGAGGAAUGAUGUCGGCAACUCAAGGCUGUCUCUUCAACCCUUUUCAAUGCCUCUGUCAACAACAUGAAGUUAAAACCAGAUAAACUAGAAGAUUUGGUGCCCAGCAUGAAGAAUAGUUCCUUUCAAGUACCUGUAUGUCCUGAAUGUAUUCCUUCCAGUGGGUUCUUGGUCUCGCUGACUUCAAGAAUGAAGCCUUGGACCCUCGUGAUAUGUGCUCACCCUUCUCUGCUCAGCUCUGUGCCUGGGAGGCUGACCUCUACAAACUGCAUCACCAGGCUUCCGCCCUCUGGCUUCCAGAUGGAUUUGGCCAAUGGGCAGCACCAGUGGGAAAGGAGAGGACAGGAGGAGAGACAGGCUGAGGCCUCCCUCCUCCUGUGUCCCUGACAUACAGUGACAGUGCUGCCCUGCAGCUCAGGAUGGAUGCAGUCAAGGACGACAGCGCAUGUCCAAAAAAGCUGUCUGCUGAACAUUUGCCCAGCAGAUUUUAGAAAGAAAGGAAACAUCUUAGUGAUUUUCUUGCCUCCAGAAGAUUCCCUGAUCCAAUCUUUCCUUGGCACAAACUUUUAGUUAUUGUGUUUACAUAUACAUUUUAUAUAUGUGUGGUCAUUAUUGUAUCUGUUUUAUUUGGGGACUUUAUCUUGAUGUGUGUUAUACCUAAUACACUGCAAUAUAAAUUAUGUAAUUAUGUGCUUUUUUUUUUUGAGAUGGAGUCUCGUUCUGUCACCCAUGCUGGAGUGCAGUGGUGUGAUCUCGGCUCACUGCAACCUCCACCUUCUGGGUUCAAGUGAUUCUGCUGCUUCUGCGUCUCAAGUAGCUGGGACUACAGGCGCCUGCCACCACACUCAGCUAAUUUUUUUUUUUUUUUUUUAAGUAGAGGUGGGGCUUCACCAUGUUGGCCAGGCUGCUUUCGAACUCCUGACGUCAGGUGAUCCACCCACCUCAGCCUCACAAAGUCCUGGAUUACAGGCAUGAGCCACCACACCCGCCCUGUGCUUUCAAUAAGUACUUUCUCACUGCUUACUGACUGAUACCCCUAGCUUUUGUAUCAUGAGGAAAAAGAGGCAUAAGAGAAUGAAUCCCUGGCCCCAGUAUCAGUCAGGAUUUAAUCAGAAAACAGAAGUCAUGCUAGGUUUUUGAUGAGUUGGAGAGAGUUGAAAGAGGAAUUAAGGCUUGCACAACCAUUAGAAGGGCUGGGUAAGGAAAGGUCAGACGGUUGCUCUUAGGGCAUCUGAAAUGCAGAGAUCUCAAGAGAAAUUGGGGCUUCUGUUGUGAUCAAGUUGCCCAUAGCAGGUGCUUCUCAGCAGGACCCUGAGAAGCUGAGGCUCUGAGUAACCGCCUGUAGCUGGCACUAAAGAAAAAUGGCUUCUCCUUUUCUGCCUCAGAUGUUUCACGGGGGUGCCUCUCACUGGACAAAUGUAACCUCGAGGCACAUAGGAAAAGAACUGGGUAGUGAGGUUUCUGGUUUUCCUCCAAGAUGGAGAAGAGUGGAGGGCUGGGGAGCAUGAGUCACAAUGAAGUUGAACUAUCAACAGACCACCCAGAAACAAAACCUCCCAUAUAUUAAUGAAAAAUAAAAAAAGCAAACAGCAAUUGAUAAACAAAUGUAUUUAAGUUAUACCAAGGGCAAGAUUGCUCUGUCAAAAAGCAUUUGAUAAUCAGUUAAUUGGUGAGUGUCUGCUAUGCAGAAUUAGAGGCAGUUAUUUUUUUGUUUGUUUGUUUUUGUUUUAGAUUAUUUCUUGCUCAAAACUCACUCAGGUUCCUGGGCUAUAAUACUUGAGCCAGACAGAGCAGCUUUGAUCUCACUGGCAGUUUGUUUAGAAGCCUGAGAUCUGGAGUGGCUUUCUAAAAUCUUCAGCUCUAAAAACCAAUACAGUUUAGUAAAAAUCUAUACAUUUGCUUGCAAUAGUCUCAAGUACAUAGUAAAAUGACAGAAAUGAUUUCAACCAAGAAAUUAGCCAUUUUCUUCCUCUUGAUUUAAGAAGGGAGAAAUAGCUUUGGAGGGAAGUGGCAAUAUUUCUAAAUUUACACACAAAUUCACACCGACAGUAUGCUCCUAAUGGUUGCCACAUUUAGAGCUAACCUGGUUUUCUGAGAUUGAUCUGGGAUGGAAGGAGAAAGAACAGCUAACUGACCGGAAGCUAAACGCCACAAGGCAAAGCCUCUUUGUUAGAAGCUGAAGAUUAUCAUAUUUCUAGGGGAGGCUGGAUGCUUUGGUUAAGAGAGACCUAGUUAUGAAUCCAGCCUUCUAAAGACCUCCAGGGAGAACUCUGCAAGUCUCCUCAGGGCAGGGGUUCUGGGAGUUUCUAGGUUCUUGCAAUUCCUGCAAGCAAACACAUCAACACACAAAAAAGCACUGGGAAUUCAGAGUCCCAGAGAAGGACAUUUGGGUACAUCCCUCAAGGUUAAAAUUUGCUGGAAACUUUGAUAAGAUAUUUGGAUGUGGAGAAGACUGGGGAAGUGUUAAGUAAAGGAAUAUGAAGUUGGGAGUCAAUUAUUCAUUAUUUUCCCUAUUCCUCUCACCCAUUAGCAUCAAUAAUUGAAAAAGAACCAUCCAUGUGUGUAUGGGGAAGGCAGUAGGCUUAGAGGCUGCUAAUAACAAUUUAGUAAAUGAGGCCAAAAAUGGGGCUCUGCAGGCAACAAGCUUGACUGGGUAGAGCCAGGCCACCUCAAAGCUGAGGCUUUAACCACCAUGGCCUGCCAUCUGCAGCACAUGACUCACUGCAUCUUUAAGCAAGACUUUGCCCAAAUAAGUACCUUCCACUUUGGUUCUAUAUUGCUGCCACCAGUGUAACUACUCUGCUGCCUUUCCUAGGGGUGGGGACAAGCUACCUCCUUGAGUUUGAGGCUUGAGCCUACCUUUGUACCUGUGGUCCUUAAGAGGUGCUGUCCUUCUCAUUUAGCUCAUACAAAGUGACUCGGGCAUCCUGCAGCAUCCCUGUACAGGUAUCAGCCCAGUCCACACUGCUAAUUGCACCCAUUUUCUUCAAAGUCCAUCUGUUUACUUAAGCAUGUUGGUGCUCAUGCUCAAUGUGCAAGGUAAUAUAGAUUGAUAUGGAUUCUUUGGGAUUUUUAGUUAAGUGGUUUCUGCUUGUGACAUUCUUUCCUUUUUUCUUUCUUUCUUUCUUUUUUUUGAGACGGAGUCUCUGUCGCCAGGCUGGAGUGCAGUGGCAUGAUCUCAGCUAGGCUCACUGCAACCUCCGUCUCCCGGGUUCAAGCAAUUCUCCUGCCUCAGCCUCCCAUGUAGCUGGGAUUACAGGCGCAUGCCACCAUGCCCAGCUAGUUUUUUUGUAUUUUUUUUUUAGUAGAGACGGGGUUUCACCAUAUUGGUCAGGCUGGUCUUGAACUCCUGACCUUGUGAUCUGCCCGCCUCGGCCUCCCAAAGUGCUGGGAUUACAGGCAUGAGCCACCACGCCUGACCUGCUUGUGACAUUAUUUUCUGCCUUUUAAAUACAAAUAGAAGUAUACAAAAGCAUAUACCUCAGUGCUUCAGGGAGAAAAGUGUGUUAGAUAAAUAGACUACCUGUAAGGAAGACUUAGUAUAAUGACAAGCAUGACUGCUUGGUAUAUUCAGAAUUUUGAUGUGUGACAAAUAAUGUGUGUCAUUCUUUGAAAUAUAAAUGUUAGAGCUUCUUAUGUUAAAAGAAGCCAUCCUAACCAAAUAAUACUCUAGGCUUUCAGUGUACCUAUAAACAUGUUCAUCUGGUGGGAAUUAAGAGAUAUGCCAAAAAACAGAUUUGAAUUUGAGCAAAAGAAUAGCAAUACAUUAACUGCUAUAUUAUAGAGUUUGUAAAGAUUGCUAUAGUGAUUAUCAGUGCUUCACGGUGUCAUUAUUGGCUUCACUAUUAAAGAUAUUGCUGUGAAAAUGAAAAUU
rnacentral:lncRNA from 10 species